AACGCGAAGAACCUUACCAGGUCUUGACAUCCAGGUAAAGCUAAAGAGAUUUAGUGUGUGCUUGCACAAUCUGAGACAGGUGGUGCAUGGUUGUCGUCAGCUCGUGUCGUGAGAUGUUGGGUUAAGUCCCGCAACGAGCGCAACCCACAUUAUUAGUUACUAACGCGUAGAGGCGAGGACUCUAGAGAGACUGCCGGGGUAAGCUGUGAGGAAGGUGGGGACGACGUCAAAUCAUCAUGCCCCUUAUGACCUGGGCUACACACGUGCUACAAUGGCCACUACACAGGGCAGCUACUGUGCGAGGCGGAGCGGAUCUCAAAAAAGUGGUCCCAGUUCGGAUUGUGGGCUGCAACCCGCCCACAUGAAGUCGGAGUUGCUAGUAAUCGCGAAUCAGCCAUGUCGCGGUGAAUACGUUCCCGGGUCUUGUACACACCG
rnacentral:rRNA from 1 species